rnacentral:rRNA from 1 species
GACGAACGCUGGCGGCGUGCUUAACACAUGCAAGUCGAACGGAAAGGCCCUGCUUUUGUGGGGUGCUCGAGUGGCGAACGGGUGAGUAACACGUGAGUAACCUGCCCUUGACUUUGGGAUAACUUCAGGAAACUGGGGCUAAUACCGGAUAGGAGCUCCUGCUGCAUGGUGGGGGUUGGAAAGUUUCGGUGGUUGGGGAUGGACGCGCGGCUUAUCAGCUUGUUGGUGGGGUAGUGGCUCACCCAGGCUUUGACGGGUAGCCGGCCUGAGAGGGUGACCGGCCCCAGUGGGACUGAGAUACGGGCCAGACUGCUACGGGAGGAAGCAGUGGGGAAUAUUGCACAAUGGGCGGAAGCCGGAUGCAGCAACGCCGCGUGCGGGAGGACGGCCUUCGGGUUGUAAACCGCUUUCGCCUGUGACGAAGCGUGAGUGACGGUAAUGGGUAAAGAAGCACCGGCUAACUACGUG